GUUGAGUCCAAUUAAACCGCAGGCUUCACCCCUUGUGGUGCUCCCCCGCCAAUUCCUUUAAGUUUCAUACUUGCGUACGUACUUCCCAGGCGGCAAACUUAACGGCUUCCCUGCAGCACUGCAUUGGCCACAAGCCAAUGCUUCACUGAGUUUGCAUAGUUUACAGCUGGGACUACCCGGGUAUCUAAUCC
rnacentral:rRNA from 1 species